GGGUUGUUAAAAGGAUUAAAUGAGAUUAUAUUUAAAGGGAUUAGCACGGUGGCUGGUGCUAAAAUAAAUCAUUUUCUCUACUGUCACUGCCCUUAUAACUAGACGCCUGCAGCAGCCUGCCGGUACGUCCCCCUCAUUUGUAAAAUGGAGUUAGUAGGUGUGUUGUGAGGAUUGUGAAAAUACUCAUAGGAAGAACCUGGCGUUUAACUAGGAUUGAGGAAAUGGUAGCAAUUCUUUCUUCACCAGGUGAUCGACAAGCUGCACUGUGGUGGACACAUACCUUUAGCACCGAUUCUUAUGAGUGCAGGUAAAGAGCGAGAGAAGACAUACUGUGUAAGUCGAAGGAGCCAGCGGUACCCAGGCAGCCCCAAAACCUCAACAGUACUGUACCAGGGCCGUCUUUAGUGAAUGAAUCUCCUCUUUGGCCUGUUUGCUGUUUGUGGGCAUUUGCUGCACCCAUCAGUUCCCAAAGCUGGUCUCUAAAGCCAGGAGCUCAAGGACACUUGUCCCAAUCCUAGAAAACAAGUGCAGCACACACCACGAGCAGCACCCCUAAAAGCCAGCCCUACUGGCAGUACAGGCCCUGCAGCCCCUAGAGAACCUCGGGGUGGAGAGACAGAGACUAGAUCUUCUUGUGUGUCUGAAGAGUGAAGAAAUUUUUUCUGGAAGCCCUCUGGCUGAAUUCACUAUCUCAGUAGAGAAUUGGUCACAGCUCUAUUCCUACCAUCACUGGGAAGGGGCUAUAGGAGUCCCAUGAAUAGAUGAGACUGAGCGGGAAAUCAAUCGCCCUGGAGCUCGAGAGGAGAGAGAAAGGUGCAUACAAAAGUGAUCAAAGUAGGACCAAAUGGCAGAAUGGGAGAAGAUGCUUGCAAUAUCUAAAACUAACUAGUAAUCUAGAAUACACAAGAAUUCCUACAAAUCAGGAAAAAGACAGAAGUCCCAUAGAAGAAAUGUGUAAAAGAUAUGAACAUGCAGUUUAUAGAAGAAUUAACCCUAAAGUCUUAUAAAAUAUGAUAAAAUACUCAAAAUCGUUGAUAGUCAUCAAAAAUGUGAAUUUAAAUGAGACUACAUGCAUUAGACUGAAAACAAUUAUUAAUAGAAAACCGCAAGGUCUGAGAAAAGUGAAAUAAAAAAGGAAAAAAAAGCCAGGUGGAUAAUUCCAGUGACUGGCAGGGUGUGAGGUCGUGGGAACCUCACGCUGCUGGUGAAACUGUGGACUGGUGCAGCCAUUCUGGAGGGCAGUCUGGUCUUCUUGGUGAAAUUAUGUAAAUGAAUAUAUCAUGCGACCCACAGUUCUGCCCCAGGGUAAGUUCUUACAGAAGCCCUGAGAAGACCUGUGUGAGGAUGUUCCCGCAGUCUUGGUGGUGGAAGGGAGUUGCGCACCACCUGAGUGUCAAUUAUUGUGAAAAAGAAUAGGUCAGAUGUGGUGCAUGCACAGGAGAAAGUACCGUGCAGCAGUUAGAAGUAAUGGAGUACUCAUAGCAAAAAAAAAAAAAGAAAAAAUCUAUUUAGUGGUUAUGAAUUUUUUUGAAAGGUCAUUUUCUGUUGAUGAUGCAUACUGAGAUGUAUAAUGGGUGAAACAAUGUCUGGGAUUGUCUUAAAAUACUUCUGAAAGAAAGAAGUAGGGAUGGAAGGGAGAGACUAGAUAAAACACAAUUGGCAAAAUGUUGGUAAAAUUGUUCAAGCUAGGUGAUGGCUAUAUGGAGGUUUGUGAUAUUAUUUCUACUUUUGUGCACCUUAGAGAAUUUUCAUGAUAAAAAUUUAAAAGUACACACACACAAUACCCAUGUUGCAAGAACGCAUUGAAAUAAGGAGAUGAACAUUAAAAUGGUUGGUUACCUUUUAGGAGAAGGAAGGAGAGCUGAGUGUGGUACAAAAAAGUGAAGAGUGCUGGCUUUGGACAUACAUAUGCUACAAUUGGAACCACACAGAUGACCAUGAUUCCUGUGCAGGAUGCCGUGCAAAUUCAUGAAGCGUUCCAUAUCUUUAUAAAUAAAUGGAAAAAAGU